rnacentral:rRNA from 1 species
UGCAAGUCGAGGGGUAACAGGAGUGCUUGCACUCGCUGACGACCGGCGCACGGGUGCGUAACGCGUAUAGAACUUACCUUUUACAGAGGGAUAGCCUUUAGAAAUGAAGAUUAAUACCUCAUAGUAUUGAGACUCGGCAUCGAGACUCACUUAAAGAUUUAUCGGUAAAAGAUGGCUAUGCGUCCUAUUAGUUAGUUGGUAAGGUAACGGCUUACCAAGGCAGCGAUAGGUAGGGGUCCUGAGAGGGAGAUCCCCCACACUGGUACUGAGACACGGACCAGACUCCUACGGGAGGCAGCAGUGAGGAAUAUUGGGCAAUGGAGGCAACUCUGACCCAGCCAUGCCGCGUGCAGGAAGACUGCCCUAUGGGUUGUAAACUGCUUUUAUACAGGAAGAAACACUGCUACGUGUAGCAGCUUGACGGUACUGUAAGAAUAAGGACCGGCUAACUCCGUGCCAGCAGCCGCGGUAAUACGGAGGGUCCGAGCGUUAUCCGGAAUCAUUGGGUUUAAAGGGUCCGCAGGCGGUCAAUUAAGUCAGAGGUGAAAUCCCAUAGCUUAACUAUGGAACUGCCUUUGAUACUGGUUGACUUGAGUCAUAUGGAAGUAGAUAGAAUGUGUAGUGUAGCGGUGAAAUGCAUAGAUAUUACACAGAAUACCGAUUGCGAAGGCAGUCUACUACGUAUGUACUGACGCUGAGGGACGAAAGCGUGGGGAGCGAACAGGAUUAGAUACCCUGGUAGUCCACGCCGUAAACGAUGGAUACUAGUUGUUGGGCAUUAGCUCAGUGACUAAGCGAAAGUGAUAAGUAUCCCACCUGGGGAGUA